AUGUAAUGAUGCAUUUUUUAAAAUACCAGAGCAAAUACUUUGUUUUAUCUUUGCCGAUGAAACUGUAGUACAUGGCUAGAAACCUUGCAAAGAGAAGGCUUUACAGUGUGUGAUCUGUCUGUAUUAGGUGGUUGUCUGGGGUGAGUGCGACUCCACUGAUGACUGUAUUGAGCACAACAUUGGCCCCUGCUCCUCAGUCCUGGACGUGGGUGGGGCUGUGACAGCUGUCAGCGUCUGCCCAGUGCUCCACCCUUCUCAACGAUACGUGGUUGCAGUAGGAUUGGAGUGUGGAAAGAUUUGCUUAUAUACCUGGAAAAAGACUGAUCAAGUUCCAGAAAUAAAUGACUGGACCCACUGUGUAGAAACAAGUCAAAGCCAAAGUCAUACACUGGCUAUCAGAAAAUUAUGCUGGAAGAAUUGCAGUGGAAAAACUGAACAGAAGGAAGCAGAAGGUGCUGAGUGGUUACACUUUGCAAGCUGUGGUGAAGAUCACACUGUGAAGAUACACAGAGUCAAUAAAUGUGCACUGUAAUGGACUUAAUAACUACAUGCUUGCAGUCACUGGUAUCUUAAAAUAUUAUCAUGUAAACAGGUCAUCUUUACCUUCAUAACUGAAUUGAGUUUCUGGGUUUUUUU
rnacentral:lncRNA from 1 species